UACGUAGGGUGCAAGCGUUAAUCGGAAUUACUGGGCGUAAAGCGUGCGCAGGCGGUUUUGCAAGACAGAUGUGAAAUCCCCGGGCUCAACCUGGGAACUGCAUUUGUGACUGCAAGGCUAGAGUACGGCAGAGGGGGAUGGAAUUCCGCGUGUAGCAGUGAAAUGCGUAGAUAUGCGGAGGAACACCGAUGGCGAAGGCAAUCCCCUGGGCCUGUACUGACGCUCAUGCACGAAAGCGUGGGGAGCAAACAGG
rnacentral:rRNA from 1 species